rnacentral:rRNA from 1 species
CCUACGGGAGGCAGCAGUGAGGAAUAUUGGUCAAUGGCCGGAAGGCUGAACCAGCCAAGCCGCGUGAAGGACGAAGGUGCCAAGCAUUGUAAACUUCUUUUGUCAAGGAACAAAAUCAGGCUCGAGAGCCUGACCGAGGGUACUUGAAGAAAAAGCAUCGGCUAACUCCGUGCCAGCAGCCGCGGUAAUACGGAGGAUGCGAGCGUUAUCCGGAUUUAUUGGGUUGAAAGGGUGCGUAGGCGGACUGUUAAGGCAGUUGUGAAAGUUUGCGGCGCAACCGUAAAAUUGCAAUUGAUACUGGCAGCCUUGAGUACAGUUGAGGUAGGCGGAAUUCGUGGUGUAGCGGUUACAUGCUUAGAGAUCACGAAGAACUCCGAUUGCGAAGGCAGCUUACUAAACUGCCACUGACAUUGAUGCUCGAAAGUGUGGGUAUCAAACAGGAUUAGAUACCCGAGUAGUC